CAGAGCAUGCAUAAAAUACAAAGUAGCGAUUUACAAGGAGAUAGUAGUAUCUUCAUAACUAAUACACCAAAAUAAUAAAAGGGCUACAGAGGAAAACUAAGUAGACUGACCACAGCAAUGCCUUCCGUGUGCCCCACACGUCAUGAGCACCGCAAAAGACAGAUUAACUAUGAAACAUAGUAAUCUAGGCAAGCCCACACACAUGUAUAUUUUGGGGAUAUUCCACCAUCCUGAAUCGUAUCACUUUAGUUGACACAACUUUCAGAACACUUCAGAGUUAAGUGCUUAAUAUUAUUCACAAAAAAAUAAAACUAAAUAUUAGUGUGCACAUUUCAGAAUGAAAAAUGAGUUGCUCCAUUGAUUUCAAUAAUGUAGUGGAAGAAAACUUUCAGGUUUGUACAAUGCCUAAUGCAUUCUAUUUAAACUCAAGGUACUAUUUCAUCUAUAUACUAAAAGAAUACAUGCCUUUUAAGUGGUACCACUUGAGCAGAAAUUAACCUCUCUUGUAUUCUUUAACAUACUGAAACCAGAUAUUUAAC
rnacentral:lncRNA from 1 species